UGGGGAAUUGUUCGCAAUGGGCGCAAGCCUGACGACGCAACGCCGCGUGGAGGAUGAAGAUUUUCGGAUCGUAAACUCCUGUCGAAUGGGACGAAUGGCCUGGCCGUGAAUAACGGCUGGGAAUGACGGUACCGUGAGAGGAAGCCCCGGCUAACUCCGUGCCAGCAGCCGCGGUAAUACGGGGGGGGCAAGCGUUGUUCGGAAUUACUGGGCGUAAAGGGCUCGUAGGUGGCCACCUAAGUCCGACGUGAAAUCCCUCGGCUCAACCGGGGAACUGCGUCGGAUACUGGGUGGCUUGAAUCCGGGAGAGGGACGUGGAAUUCCAGGUGUAGCGGUGAAAUGCGUAGAUAUCUGGAGGAACACCGGUGGCGAAGGCGGCGUCCUGGACCGGUAUUGACACUGAGGAGCGAAAGCCAGGGGAGCAAACGGGAUUAGAUACCCCGGUAGUCCUGGCCCUAAACGAUGAGUGCUUGGUGUGGCGGGUAUCGAUCCCCGCUGUGCCGGAGCUAACGCGUUAAGCACUCCGCCUGGGGAGUACGGUCGCAAGGCUG
rnacentral:rRNA from 1 species